CGUUGAACAAAGUUUAUCUUUAGAGUUUAUUCUCUACUCAGACGUCAUAUAAUAAUCAAACAGCGUGCCAUGAAGUCUGCAGGCUCAGCCCUUCAAUGCGCCUUUGUCCAUCUGCCUCGUAUUCGACCAGCAGGCCCCGCAAUUGUAUUUACUCAGUGAGCUUAUUAAAACGUACUCAUUAUUACUGGUAGAAAAGCACACAUACACGCCUCCAACAACCAGUGCUUUUACACUUCAUGUCAUCAUUCACACAUUCACGCUGAUUCACUGAUACAUUCCUCACCCAGGCCUUCAGGGAUGUCCUCCACAGUCCCACCCGAAGGAAUACCACCUGUGUCGAUCUCUUCUCUCGAUGUCUCGCUUUUCUUGAAAUGUCCGUCUUGAAAAUGGCGUUGUACAUCUGGGACUAAAUUGAUCUCUUCUCCUCCAUUGUGGAGAAGUCAUUGUAUAAACUGCAACAACAACUCAUCUAGCUCAUGCAGAGAAAGGGAUGAGAAUAGCCGCACUUUUCAGUUUUUAAAUACAAGAAUUCUCUGACACACUGUUGCAUCACUAACAGAAGUGAUAGCAGACACUUUUCACCCCAGAUAGUGUCUAGUAGUCCAUUCAUAAAAUGCUUGAAUGCAAUAAACAUGUGAGUUUUAACCUAAAGCAGGCGGAGCAAAGAGCAUGUGCACGAUAAGAUUGUGGAGACUGAUGUACUGCUUCGUUCAUUUAUCAUCAGACUUAUUUGACCCUAAUUGAUCCUACACUGUCAACAGGAUCGAUUCCCCGAUGGUUGGGUCGGCACGUGGGAUUUGUUGAUGAUAAGAAACAUUUUAAUUAAACAAUAUUAAGCAUCAUUCAUUCAGAAUCCUCCCAACUGUGUCUGAAAUGACUCAGCGUACAUCUAGACUGUUUAUAUAAAAAGCCAUAAAAGUGUGCUGUUGGAAAUAUUCCAUCCCGAAGUGAAGAGUGCUGUUAUCGGGUGAACUCUGCAGUCCUUUAUUCUGAGGUUCCCAGCUACACAAAAAGCAGCAUUAGUAGAUGAAAAGUUGGGUUUUGGGAUGAUGUUGCAUUCUCUGCACCUCAGCAUGGAUUGUUCACAAAAUGAAGAUAUAUUCAGAUAUCUUAUCUGGUUAUACAUUUUAAA
ensembl:lncRNA